UAUCGAAGAAGCGGUAUCCAAGGGAUUUGUUGAGCAGAGCGAUUCUCAGGAGCUGGUCAAUUUUAACAGUAAAAGGUCUUUAAUAAGCGCUGUAAUUGCGCAUAGGAAGGCGACAAAGUUUGCCCAAGAUUUGAAAGAUAGGUUUGAAGUCUCGUAUUGCUUUCUCCUUCUAUGUGCCAUCAUCUCCUUAGCAAUUAAUUUCUAUCGCCUUUCAGAUAUCUCAAGCGAUAUGCUUGACGCACGAUUUCGAAGAAUUGAUCAUGUCUGCGAUGUUUUCCAUUAGUGAACUAGUUUACAUGUUUUACUUGAACUACCUGAUACAAGUGCUGCUCGAUUUCGCUGAUAGCAUUGU